GAAAAAAGGAUGUGGAGUUGCCCAGACAACCAGGAUGUUGGCUUAGAAGCAGCCACUCAUUAAAAGAGUGCGUAAUAGCUCACUGGUCGAGUGACUCUGCGCCGAAAAUUUAACGGGGCUAAACUAUACACCGAAGCUUGGGAUACCGCAAGGUAUGGUAGGAGAGCGUUCUGUAAGGGGUGAAGUCGCAGCGAAAGCGGCGGUGGACUUUACAGAAGUGAGAAUGCCGGAAUAAGUAGCGAGAAAUAUGUGAGAAUCAUAUUGGCCGAAAGUCUGAGGUUUUUGGAGGAAGGUUCGUCCGCUCCAAGUAAGUCGGGAGCUAAGGCGAGGCCGAAAGGCGUAGUCGAUGCACAUACGGUAGAUAUUCCGUAACCACCGAAAAAUUUAAGCAAAGGGACACCUGAGAAUGGCAUAACCCGGGAGAUGGUUUACCCGGGCGUAAGGGACCGAAAUUUAGUAGGGAAGUAUGCUUAGAUCAGGGCGAGAAAAGCUUUGUGGAUAUUUAAGGUGCCCGUACCGCAAACCGACACAGGUAGACAGGAAGAGAAUUCUAAGGCCAACGGGAGAAAGGUAGUUAAGGAACUCGGCAAAUUGACCCCGUAACUUAGGGAAAAGGGGUGCUCACGAAAGUGAGCCGCAGAGAAUAGGCCCAGGCGACUGUUUAGCAAAAACACAGGUCUCUGCCAAAUCGAAAGAUGAAGUAUAGGGGCUGACACCUGCCCGGUGCCGGAAGGUUAAGAGGAGGAGUGCAAGCUCUGAAUUGAAGCCCCGGUAAACGGCGGCCGUAACUAUAACGGUCCUAAGGUAGCGAAAUUCCUUGUCGGGUAAGUUCCGACCCGCACGAAUGGUGUAACGAUCUGGGCACUGUCUCAACUACCUGCCCGGCGAAAUUGUAGUACCGGUGAAGAUGCCGGUUACCUGCGACAAGACGGAAAGACCCCAUGGAGCUUUACUGCAGCUUGAUAUUGGGUUUCGGUAAUCUAUGUACAGGAUAGGUGGGAGACUUGGAAGCACGCACGCCAGUGUGUGUGGAGUCGCCGUUGGGAUACCACUCUUAGAUUGCUGGAAUUCUAACCUGCGGCCAUGAAUCUGGUCGGGGGACAUUGUCAGGCGGGCAGUUUGACUGGGGCGGUCGCCUCCGAAAGAGUAACGGAGGCGCUCAAAGGUUGGCUCAGCACGGACGGAAACCGUGCUUGUGAGUGUAAACGCAAAAGCCAACUUGACUGCGAGGGUGACGGCCCGAGCAGGUACGAAAGUAGGAGUUAGUGAUCCGGCGGUAUGUGAAUGG
rnacentral:rRNA from 1 species